rnacentral:lncRNA from 1 species
GUACAGUGCAGACACUGCCUACAGUCUACUGCAGUUGUCACAUAGCAUUCUUUGCUAUUCCAACUCAAUGAAGCUUUCAUGAAGUAAGGGAGAAAGAAUGAAGUAAUAAGUACAGCCCUGGGAGUUGCUCCAACCCAGGGUUUCUCCAGACUGAUUGGGAAGGUAUUUAAGUGUGGGCAUAUGCCUGAAGGGGGAAGGUGGGUGCGUGUUAAGAAUUUCAGUCUCAGAAUGUUGCCCAGUGAGGAUUAGAGAGCUGAAGCAUGUGAAUACCUUAUCUCAGCCCUUCACCGCCCCUCUUCAAGCAUUUUCCCCUACUGUCUGUACUCAACUAAAACCAAAGGAUUUAUUAAACUUUUUACAAUCAUUUCCUGUCAAGUAUGAAUAGAAUCCUGAAAGUCUGCAAGAUUUAUUCUUGUAGUUGAGAAAAACAGUAACUCUCAGGGGUUAGCAUAUCUUAAAUUAUGAGCUUUAAGUGAACUGGGCUAAAGUCAAGUGAUAAGAUGAGCCGGAGGGCGAAGAACAGAAUUUCCUAAUACAGCAGCAACAUGAUUUUCUUAUGGCAUAACACCACUUGAAGAUGUUAACAGUCUUCUCUAAAUGCACCAAAACAGACAAGCCUCAGUACUAUAAAAACAGAUUAUUAAGGAAAGGACGGGCUAUGAAAUAUUUAGUUACUCUAAGUAAAUUGUGAUUUUAAACAGGUUGUAAUAGAAAUGAUGUCAAAUCUGAAGUUACAGUAUGGAUCAUCAAAUGUUUGUGUAGAAGCAGCAGCAUCAAAUUAAACUAAGGAAAUAUCUUGGCUCCUGGACCAAGAUAUUAGCUACUUUUAAAAAAGGAAAAAUGUAAGCAGAUAUCGUGCUCUUAGCAGCAUCAUUCGUAACAGUUACAAUGGAGAAACAACCCAAGUGUCCAUCCACAGAUUAAUGGAUAAGCAAAAUAUGGUAUAGUAUAUGCUAUAUAUAAUGGAAUAUUCAGCCUUAAAAAGGAAAUUUUGACAUAUGCUACAACAUGGUGAAUAUUGAGAACAUACUAAGCCAGCCACAAAAAAUGAUUACACUUGUGUGAAGUACUUAACAUAGUCAAAGCCAUAGAGAGAGAACGUAGAGUGGUGGUUGCUAUGGGCUGGAGGAGGAAAGAAUGAGGCAAUAUUGUUUACAGGAGGUACAGAGAUUCAGUUUUACAAGAUGAAAAGAGUUCUGGAGAUAGGUGGUGACAGUGGUUACACAACAUGAAUGUACUGAAUUCCUCUGAAAUGUAUACUUAG